rfam:Schistosoma curassoni strain Dakar, Senegal genome assembly, scaffold: SCTD_scaffold0000665
UUCCAGAUGAUGAGUCUCAAAUAGAACGAAACGCGCGUCCUCCAU